rnacentral:lncRNA from 1 species
UGUUUGUGCAUCUACCAUUCCUGGGUCCUGAGGAUGGCGGCCCUCUUCUCACAGCUCCACUAGGCAGUUGCUUACAUCUAUCAUUCCUGUGCAAUCAUCCCGCCUCAGCCUCCCCAGUAGCUGGGACUAAGGUCCAUGCAACAAUUCCUGGUUUGUAUGUUGGAAAUACUAUGUAAUGUUGUGCUUCUGCACAUUUCCUCUCAUCUCCUCACAUUUACUGAUGUCACAUUGGUAGCUUCCACCACAUUGGCUAUGGUAGAAGUGUUCGUAACAUGAAAACUGGAAACAAUCAAACACUGAAAAUCAGUUUUUUUUUUUGGAGAACCUAUUGUUAAACAUUUACCAGCAUACCACAAAAUGCAGUAUUUCAAUAUACCUAUGUCGAU